rnacentral:rRNA from 1 species
GGGUGAAGGUGAGGUAAAACUCACUGGAGGCCCGAACCAGGGCACGUUGAAAAGUGCUUGGAUGACUUGUGGGUAGCGGAGAAAUUCCAAACGAACUUGGAGAUAGCUGGUUCUCUCCGAAAUAGCUUUAGGGCUAGCGUCGAUGUUAAGUCUCUUGGAGGUAGAGCACUGUUUGGGUGAGGGGUCCAUCCCGGAUUACCAAUCUCAGAUAAACUCCGAAUGCCAACGAGAUAUAAUCGGCAGUCAGACUGCGAGUGCUAAGAUCCGUAGUCGAAAGGGAAACAGCCCAGACCACCAGCUAAGGUCCCAAAAUAUAUGUUAAGUGGAAAAGGAUGUGGGGUUGCACAGACAACUAGGAUGUUAGCUUAGAAGCAGCUAUUCAUUCAAAGAGUGCGUAAUAGCUCACUAGUCGAGUGACCCUGCGCCGAAAAUGUACCGGGGCUAAAACAUAUUACCGAAGCUGUGGAUACCUUUAUAGGUAUGGUAGGAGAGCGUUCUAUGUGCGAAGAAGGUGUACCGUGAGGAGUGCUGGAGCGCAUAGAAGUGAGAAUGCCGGUAUGAGUAGCGAAAGACAGGUGAGAAUCCUGUCCACCGUAAGACUAAGGUUUCCAGGGGAAGGCUCGUCCGCCCUGGGUUAGUCGGGACCUAAGGAGAGACCGAAAGGUGUAUCCGAUGGACAACAGGUUGAUAUUCCUGUACUAGAGUAUAUAGUGAUGGAGGGACGCAGUAGGCUAACUAAACCAGACGAUUGGAAGUGUCUGGCCAAGCAGUGAGGUGUGAUAUGAGUCAAAUGCUUAUAUCUAUAACAUUGAGCUGUGAUGGGGAGCGAAAUUUAGUAGCGAAGUUAGUGAUGUCACACUGCCGAGAAAAGCUUCUAGCGUUAAUUAUACUCUACCCGUACCGCAAACCGACACAGGUAGUCGAGGCGAGUAGCCUCAGGUGAGCGAGAGAACUCUCGUUAAGGAACUCGGCAAAAUGGCCCCGUAACUUCGGGAGAAGGGGCGCUGACCUAUGGUCAGCCGCAGUGAAUAGGCCCAAGCAACUGUUUAUCAAAAACACAGCUCUCUGCUAAAUCGUAAGAUGAUGUAUAGGGGGUGACGCCUGCCCGGUGCUGGAAGGUUAAGAGGAGUGCUUAGCGAUAGCGAAGGUAUGAAUUGAAGCCCCAGUAAACGGCGGCCGUAACUAUAACGGUCCUAAGGUAGCGAAAUUCCUUGUCGGGUAAGUUCCGACCCGCACGAAAGGCGUAAUGAUUUGGGCACUGUCUCAACGAGAGACUCGGUGAAAUUUUAGUACCUGUGAAGAUGCAGGUUACCCGCGACAGGACGGAAAGACCCCAUGGAGCUUUACUGCAGUUUGAUAUUGAGUAUCUGUACCACAUGUACAGGAUAGGUAGGAGCCUAUGACCUCGGGACGUCAGUUUCGAGUGAGGCGUUGUUGGGAUACUACCCUUGUGUUAUGGCUACUCUAACCCAGAUAGGUUAUCCCUAUCGGAGACAGUGUCUGACGGGCAGUUUGACUGGGGCGGUCGCCUCCUAAAAGGUAACGGAGGCGCCCAAAGGUUCCCUCAGAAUGGUUGGAAAUCAUUCGCAGAGUGUAAAGGUAUAAGGGAGCUUGACUGCGAGAGCUACAACUCGAGCAGGGACGAAAGUCGGGCUUAGUGAUCCGGUGGUUCCGCAUGGAAGGGCCAUCGCUCAACGGAUAAAAGCUACCCUGGGGAUAACAGGCUUAUCUCCCCCAAGAGUUCACAUCGACGGGGAGGUUUGGCACCUCGAUGUCGG